rnacentral:rRNA from 1 species
GUUGUUGCGGUUAAAAAGCUCGUAGUUGGAUUUCUGUUGAGGUUGGGCGGUCCGCACUACGUGCGAGUAUCUGCUUCGGCCUUGGCAUCCUCUCGGAAAACGCUACUGUGCUUGAUUGCAUGGUGCGGGGUUCGGGACUUUUACUUUGAGGAAAUUAGAGUGUUCACGGCAGGCAAUCGCCCUGAAUAUAUUAGCAUGGAAUAAUAAUAUAGGAUCUGAUGCCUAUUUUGUUGGUUUCUAGGCGUGAGAUAAUGAUUAAUAGGGACAAUUGGGGGGAUUCGUAUUAUGGCGUCAGAGGUGGAAUUCUUGGAUUGCCAUACGACGAACUACUGCGAAAGCAUUUCUCAGGGAUGUUUUCAUUGAUCAAGAACGAAAGUAAGGGGAUCGAAGAUGAUUAGAUACCAUCGUAGUCUUUACCAUAAACUAUGCCAACUAGAGAUGGGGCGUCGUUCAUUUAUGACCCGCUCUGCACCUUAUGAGAAAUCAAAGUUUUCGGGUUCCGGGGGGAGUAUGGUCGCAAGGCUGAAACUUAAAGGAAUUGACGGAAGGGCACCACCAGGCGUGGAGCUUGCGGCUCAAUUUGACUCAACACGGGAAAACUUACCAGGUCCAGACAUAGUAAGGAUUGACAGAUUGAUAGCUCUUUCUUGAUUUUAUGGGUGGUGGUGCAUGGCCGUUCUUAGUUGGUGGAGUGAUUUGUCUGGUUAAUUCCGUUAACGAACGAGACCUUUGCCUGCUAACUAGUCUCGUCCAUCUCGAUGGACGUAGAUCUUCUUAGAGGGACUUUG